UACGAAGGGGGCUAGCGUUGCUCGGAAUCACUGAGCGUAAAGGGUGCGUAGGCGGGUUUUUAAGUCAGGGGUGAAAUCCUGGAGCUCAACUCCAGAACUGCCUUUGAUACUGGCGAUCUCGAGUCCGGGAGAGGUGAGUGGAACUGCGAGUGUAGAGGUGAAAUUCGUAGAUAUUCGCAAGAACACCAGUGGCGAAGGCGGCUCACUGGCCCGGUACUGACGCUGAGGUGCGAAAGCGUGGGGAGCAAACAGG
rnacentral:rRNA from 1 species